CUGGAGCGAACGGCCCUUCCGUGGAUAGAAUCUCCCCAGUUUUCCAUUGAAAACUAUUGCACAGCCUGUGUUGUGAUCUCACUCCUGUGAGCCAUACUCAAGUGAGUACUCUUUAUGAUGCCAGAGGGACUACUCUUGUAGAGGGAUGGAUGUAGUUAAAAAUCCCUGCUCACUGCUUUGAACAUUUUUAGUGCUGCAUUCUCAUUACAUUAGCAUAGUAUGGAACAUGUAAAGACAUGCUUCAGUUUGGAUGUUUACUCCCUAGGUUGUUUUUCACAGAUGGUUUUAUUUUCGGGUUUCUUAGUUGUCCCUCUUCCAAGGUGUGGCUAGUUAUUUUGACUCAAACAGCUUUUGGCUUAAUAUCAUCUAUGUAAGCUCCAUUGCCAUAUUUUAGUACUGAUGAUAUAAAUAAAUAAAUCAUUAAUUACAAUGUUUCUUUGUUAGUUUUGUUUGGAAUUUUUGCUUGUAAUACAGAGAAAAUGUUGAUAUACGAUUAAUAUUUUAUACCACACAUACUUAGAGAUUUAAAUGUGAUUGAAUAAUGAAAGAUUAUUUACUGUAGAAGUGGAUUUAGACUAAAUUCACUAAUCCAAGUAUUUACUCAUUCCCACUUUUUGUUAUCUGUAUGUGCAGAAAAAUAUUUGUGAAAAAAAGUAACUCCAAGUAACAAAAGACAAUGAAGAAACAAAUGGGAGAAGGACUGGAGCCACACUCCACUAAGUAUUGCAUAAAAAUUUUGUAGAGCUCAUUCCCAGUAAGAUUCAAGUUCAAGAUUUGUAGUUUGGUCUUACAGGCAGAUGUCUGAAUGCUUCUGAAAACAAAUGCCAUUGGGAAUGACUGUAUUUCAAAUGGAACCAAUUUAUAACAAAUGCUGAAGCUUACAGCAGUGUUAAAAACCCUUUUAUCUCUAGUUGUUCACAAAAGACAUUAAGAUAUCUGAAACAUGUAUUAAGAAGCCACAACAUCUGCUGUGGCAGGUACACCACUGGGAAAUGGGAAAAAUAUGAACAAGUACUUGAGCAAAAAACUCCUGCUCUAUUAAACGUGGCUCAGGGAAUGAAAUCUUACUGGAACUUAGCAAUGUAAAAGACAUUAAAAUGGCUGGGGUGGAAAGGCUUCUUUGCUCCAUGAGUUGUAUUUAAGGACACAAAAAAUAUUUGGAGACGGAAGAUUUUGUUGUCACAUGUCCCUAUUUUACAAGGAAAUCAGGAAUGUAUUACAACAAAAGAAGAAGUCCUUCAUCCCUUAUUCAGAACUUCUGUAGAGCUUUUCAGCCUCAUGAGGACCAAAGGGGUCUAUUCAGUCAGUUAUCAUUUGCUUCAAUCAUGGGCAAUUUACCAGAGAUUACUUUGCAGUAUCUCUGAAUAGGUAUAAUAUUCCAAAGAAUGGAAAUCAAAUCAUCUUUUCAGGACUCCAUUUAUAAGCUCUUCUGUGCCCCUCUCUGUCAUGCUGUCAACUCAUCCUAGUUUCAGUUGAAUCUUGAAAUAAAAAAGAUUCACAAGAGA